AACGAACGCUAGCGGCAUGCCUAACACAUGCAAGUCGAACGAGAUCUUCGGAUCUAGUGGCGCACGGGUGCGUAACGCGUGGGAAUCUGCCCUUGGGUUCGGAAUAACAGUGAGAAAUUACUGCUAAUACCGGAUGAUGUCUUCGGACCAAAGAUUUAUUGCCCAGGGAUGAGCCCGCGUAGGAUUAGCUAGUUGGUGGGGUAAUGGCCUACCAAGGCGACGAUCCUUAGCUGGUCUGAGAGGAUGAUCAGCCACACUGGGACUGAGACACGGCCCAGACUCCUACGGGAGGCAGCAGUGGGGAAUAUUGGACAAUGGGCGAAAGCCUGAUCCAGCAAUGCCGCGUGAGUGAUGAAGGCCUUAGGGUUGUAAAGCUCUUUUACCAGGGAUGAUAAUGACAGUACCUGGAGAAUAAGCUCCGGCUAACUCCGUGCCAGCCGCCGCCGUAA
rnacentral:rRNA from 1 species